rnacentral:rRNA from 1 species
CGCAAGCGUUGUCCGGAAUUAUUGGUCGUAAAGCGCUCGUAGGCGGCCUGUUGCGUCCGCUGUGAAAUCCCGGGGCUCAACCCCGGGCCUGCAGUGGAUACGGGCUGGCUGGAGGCAGGCAGGGGAGAACGGAAUUCCUGGUGUAGCGGUGAAAUGCGCAGAUAUCAGGAGGAACACCGGUGGCGAAGGCGGUUCUCUGGGCCUGUUCUGACGCUGAGGAGCGAAAGCGUGGGGAGCGAACAGG